rnacentral:lncRNA from 1 species
GGACAGCAAGGCGGGGAGAGGGGCAGCCCGCUCGCGGGCCUCGGCCUGCGGCCGGGAUCCUCCGCCCGGGUCGCGCAGCCGAGGCCGAGGGCUGGGGCGGGCGGCCGGGAAGUGGGAAAGGGAGCCAGAGGCGCUCCUUUUGUCUUUUCUUCCCAUCCCCCAGGUUUGGGAAAGUUUUCCUUUUGGGAAAGCCCCUCUCUUCAGCCUGCUGGCGGGUGUCGGAUUGGUUAGCGGCCACCGGCCCCCGUCGCCCCCAACAGGAUUCUCCUUUGGGCCACAGGCCUUCCGGAAGUUGCCAAACCCCGGUAGUGGCAGCGUCAGGCUGGGGGCUUUAUUAGGGGGCACCAGGGUCUGCUUUCCGACUCCCUUCCGACUCUGCGCCUGCGCAGGAAGCGAUUUGGGGAGUGUUGUGAAUUCCGAGGGCUCCACACUUAAGAGGUUGUACACUCACCUAUCUACCUGGACUCCAAUUUCCAUAUUUCCAGCCACUUGAGGACUGAGAGGUGGAUGAUAAACCCUGUCAUAGUGGAGCAAGUUCAGGUGUUUAACCGCUGUUAUGGGGGAUCUGCCUUUUCUCCCUCUUCUUUCUUACUUCCAUAAGUAUGUAUGUGCAGAGAUUGAAAAAUAACCUUGAGAGAGUCCAUCCAUCUAACUCCAGUUCAUCGGAAAUUUCUGCUUCUUUGAGACUGAGGUUAGAUUCCACUUCUUCUGACUACACCACCACCAUCAAUCUCCUUCUCUGAACUCUUGGAUCAUUACUUCAACCUGAAACAACUCAUCAGGCAGAAUAGUUGCCUACUGCCCCAACCCCACCAAAUGUUCCGGCACCUCUGAUAUUACCUCACAUGGCAAGAGGGCUUUGAAGAUGUGAUUGAGUCAAGGAUCUUAAAUGGGGAGAUUAUCCUGAAUUAUUCAGGUGGACCCAGUAUAAUCACAAAGGUUUUUCAAAGUUGGAAGAGAGGCAGAAGAGCCAGAAAAGGAUAUGUGACAAUGGAGUCAGUGUCAGAGUUGGAGUGACGUGGUGUGAGAAGGAUUCAACCUGCUGUUUCUGGCUUUGAGGAUGAAAGAAGGGGCCAUGAGCCAAGGAAUACAGGUGGCUUCUUUCAAGAAGUUGGAAAAGUGGUAAUAUUUUAUGUUAUUUUGGUUUGAUUUUUGUUUGUGGCAUAUGGCUCUGCUGUCCUACGACUCUAAGUAGAAGAGAAAAUAGUACCAAUAAUUUCCUCGUGGAGAUGCACCUCUCUCUCUUAAGUCUUGAAGAAUGUUUGAGAUUUCCCCAGGCCAUCAUCACUGGAUUUGGCUAUUUGACUUGCUGUAUUCAAUGGAAUGUGAGUGAAAAGUCACUAUGUACCAGUGGGGAGGCAAAGCCUUAAAAGACCCAGCAAAUUUCUUCCAGCCCUUUUGUGCUUCUGCCAAAAGAAUACUGCGAGCAGUUGGUGCCCCUUAAGCCUGGGCCUCAGAAUGAGAGAUAUGGAGCAAACCUGAACCUGACCAGCAGCCUAGAAUCAAGCCAGGAUGACCCUGCAAAACCCAGCCAAGCAUAGCAAAGCCACAGCAGACUUGUAGACCAAU